rnacentral:lncRNA from 1 species
AUGGAAUCAGAAUGUCCAAGUGGUGUAGCAAAUUACAUUUCAGAUGGCUUCCAGAGCUACUUAUCUUAUUGGACGCCUUCCAUUGGCAUCCUGGGAUCAAAUGGUGACUCUGGAGGAAGAGAGAAGGGGUCCACUUCCUUCUUCCCUUGUUUAUGUAUGAGUCUCCCUGCUAUGUCAUUUCCUGCCUGGAUCAUCACUUCUUUACUACAUUUCCCAGAAUCCUCCUUGACUCCUAGUCCCACCUAACUUGCUGCCUCAUUGGCCAAACAGUACUUUAUUCAACAAUCAAUAAGAUGAACAUACACAGAAGUACAUUCCCC